GCUGGGCAUGGUGGCGAGUGCCUGUAAUCCCAGCCACUCAGGAGGCUGAGGCAGGAGAAUCACUUGAACCCGGGAGGCGGAGGUUGCAGUGAGCUGAGAUUGCGCCAUUGCAUCCCAGCCUGGGUGACAAAGUGAGACUCCGUCUCAA
ensembl:misc_RNA Metazoa_SRP Metazoan signal recognition particle RNA